rnacentral:tRNA from 1 species
GCGCGAGUGGUGGAAUUGGUAGACACGCUAGCUUCAGAGGCUAGUGCCCCUCGGGGCGUGGAAGUUCAAGUCUUCUCUCGCGCACCA